CUACGUGCCAGCAGCCGCGGUAAUACGGAAGGUCCGGGCGUUAUCCGGAUUUAUUGGGUUUAAAGGGAGCGUAGGCUGGAGAUUAAGUGUGUUGUGAAAUGUAGACGCUCAACGUCUGACUUGCAGCGCAUACUGGUUUCCUUGAGUACGCACAACGUUGGCGGAAUUCGUCGUGUAGCGGUGAAAUGCUUAGAUAUGACGAAGAACUCCGAUUGCGAAGGCAGCUGACGGGAGCGCAACUGACGCUGAAGCUCGAAGGUGCGGGUAUCGAACAGGAUUAGAUACCCUGGUAGUCCGCRCAGUAAACGAUGAGUGCUAGGUGUUAGACCCUUUCCGGGGUUUAGUGCCGCAGCUAACGCAUUAAGCACUCCGCCUGGGGAGUACGACCGCAAGGUUGAAACUCAAAGGAAUUGACGGGGGCCCGCACAAGCGGUGGAGCAUGUGGUUUAAUUCGAAGCAACGCGAAGAACCUUACCAGGUCUU
rnacentral:rRNA from 1 species